UGGGGAAUAUUGGACAAUGGGCGAAAGCCUGAUCCAGCCAUGCCGCGUGUGUGAAGAAGGUCUUCGGAUUGUAAAGCACUUUAAGUUGGGAGGAAGGGCAGUAAGCUAAUACCUUGCUGUUUUGACGUUACCGACAGAAUAAGCACCGGCUAACUCUGUGCCAGCAGCCGCGGUAAUACAGAGGGUGCAAGCGUUAAUCGGAAUUACUGGGCGUAAAGCGCGCGUAGGUGGUUUGUUAAGUUGGAUGUGAAAGCCCCGGGCUCAACCUGGGAACUGCAUCCAAAACUGGCAGGCUAGAGUACGGUAGAGGGUGGUGGAAUUUCCAGUGUAGCGAUGAAAUGCGUAGAUAUAGGAAGGAACACCAGUGGCGGAGGCGACCACCUGGACUGAUACUGACACUGAGGUGCGAAAGCGUGGGGAGCAAACAGG
rnacentral:rRNA from 1 species